UACAGUGAUGUUCUUUCUGCAACCAUUUUAAAUGAAGAGCAAUGCAAAGAAUUGAAUAUGGGCUCCUAUCUUGGCGUUGCUGCAGCCUCUGCAAAUCCUCCCCAUUUUAUCCACUUGCGUUACAAACCUCCCAGUGGACCUGUAUCAGUCAAAUUGGGUUUGGUUGGGAAAGGACUAACCUUCGACAGUGGUGGCUAUAACAUUAA
rnacentral:misc_RNA from 1 species